rnacentral:rRNA from 1 species
GAUGAACGCUGGCGGCGUGCCUAAUACAUGCAAGUCGAGCGAACGGACGAGAAGCUUGCUUCUCUGAUGUUAGCGGCGGACGGGUGAGUAACACGUGGAUAACCUACCUAUAAGACUGGGAUAACUUCGGGAAACCGGAGCUAAUACCGGAUAAUAUUUUGAACCGCAUGGUUCAAAAGUGAAAGACGGUCUUGCCGUCACUUAUAGAUGGAUCCGCGCUGCAUUAGCUAGUUGGUAAGGUAACGGCUUACCAAGGCAACGAUGCAUAGCCGACCUGAGAGGGUGAUCGGCCACACUGGAACUGAGACACGGUCCAGACUCCUACGGGAGGCAGCAGUAGGGAAUCUUCCGCAAUGGGCGAAAGCCUGACGGAGCAACGCCGCGUGAGUGAUGAAGGGCUUCGGAUCGUAAAACGCUGUUAUUAGGGAAGAACAUAUGUGUAAGUAACUGUGCACAUCUUGACGGUACCUAAGCAGAAAGCCACGGCUAACUACGU